UAAAAGAUAAGCUAAUUAAGCUAAUGGGUUCAUACCCCAUCAAUAUAAAUACUAAUUUUUUUCUUUUAA
rnacentral:tRNA from 2 species